GGGUGCGCGGCCGCGUGGCCGUGCAGGGAUCUCGGACGGUCGGGCCGCCGUCC
rnacentral:ncRNA from 1 species